rnacentral:rRNA from 1 species
UACGAAGGGGCUAGCGUUGCUCGGAAUCACUGGGCGUAAAGGGUGCGUAGGCGGGUCUUUAAGUCAGGGGUGAAAUCCUGGAGCUCAACUCCAGAACUGCCUUGAUACUGAGGAUCUUGAGUUCGGGAGAGGUGAGUGGAACUGCGAGUGUAGAGGUGAAAUUCGUAGAUAUUCGCAAGAACACCAGUGGCGAAGGCGGACUCGCUGGCCCGAUACUGACGCUGAGGCACGAAAGCGUGGGGAGCAACAGGG